AGGACGAACGCUGGCGGCGUGCCUAACACAUGCAAGUCGAGCGGAGUUAACAAGAGGAAGUUUCGGAUGGAAUUUGUAAUUAGCGGCGGACGGGUGAGUAACGCGUGAGCGACCAACCUUGCACAGGGGGAUAACGGACCGAAAGGUUCACUAAUACCGCAUGAGACCACGGUGUUGCAUGACACAGAGGUCAAAGGAGCAAUCCGGUGCAAGACGGGCUCGCGUCCGAUUAGGUAGUUGGUGGGGUAAUGGCCCCACCAAGCCUAUGAUCGGUAGCCGACCUGAGAGGGUGAUCGGCCACAUUGGAACUGAGAUACGGUCCAAACUCCUACGGGAGGCAGCAGUGGGGAAUAUUGGGCAAUGGGGGGAAAAACCCCUGACCCAGCAACGCCGCGUGAAGGAAGAAGGUUUUCGGAUUGUAAACUUCUGUCCUUGGUGAAGAGAAGAAGACGGUAGCCAAGGAGGAAGCCCCGGCUAACUACGUGCCAGCAGCGGC
rnacentral:rRNA from 1 species